UCGGCGGGGCGCCGUCCAAUGGGCGGUGCGAGGGGCGGUGCGGGGGCGUGUCCCGGUGUGUUUGGGUUCGUGCUCCUCGGGGGAGGGAGAGACGGCGGCGAGGAAAGUUUGGUUUUGGUUUUUUUUUUCCCCCCCCCGGUGGUGUUUUUUUGGCGGCGCCGGCGGAGCGGGGGGGGGUACGCUUUUCGCAGCUUCUUCGCCUUUUGCUUCCUGGGGUUCGUGUUUCCCGGGCGGGCGGAGCCGCCCCCGGCACUGAGAAGAACGGGGGCUCCGCGCACCGCGGCGGCGCCUCGGCGGGUUUUGUUUUUGCACUGAAUGUAGCCAGGACGGAUCCUUGUGGGCUUUGGCAGCCCUUGGAAACUGUCAAAGGCAGUAUUUUGCAUUUCUGCAGAGCUUUGCACAGAUCCUGUUCCCAUGCAAACUGAUGAGGGAGAAAUACUGGAGGAAGGCAGUCCCAAGGUCAGUGAGGUAAAUGCCACUGUGUUUUGGAAGAAGAAAAGCUUGUUUGGCUGAAAGGGGUGGUGGAGGGGGGGGGGUACAUGGAGUGAACUUGGACUGGUGCUGAUAUUUUUAAUAAGAAACUUCAUGUAGAUGCUUAUUAUUUAUUGUCAUGGAGAUGCUUAAAAAAUUAAACUUGGGAAAAUCUUUAGAAAGACAGGGGUUUUGCUACCCACUAAGGAUUGGAACAUGUGUUUUCAAGCACUUCCAGGAAGGAAGGAGAAAACUUGUGAAAAGAUACUAACCCUGCUAGUAUUUAAUUUGUG
rnacentral:lncRNA from 1 species